AAAAGAAAAGAAAACUUGGCAGAUAAAUUGAAAAAAAGGUCUGGUGGAAUUUAAAUAAUAUUUAAAGGGAAUUUGGGUGGCGUUGUCGUCGGUUGGUUGUCUCCUCCUUUUGUUGCGCGAAGCAAUGAGGACUAUGGCGAUGCCUUGCUCAUUCCCUAUAUUUACCCGCUUAAAUGUCAACAAAACCCACCUUUCUCCUGUCUUAUUACCGUUUUGCCACUCCUCUUUCUCUCUCAGUCAUCGUCGCUCUCUUUCCAUGGCUUUUGCAACUCAGCCAUCCACUCAGGCUGUGUCACCUGGGGAUAUUAAUAGUGAUGCCAAUGUGUUUCAGUUGAUCCAAACUCACCAGAAAAAGGCAGCUCGACUUCCUCCCGUUGAGGAAAUUAGAACCGUGCUUUAUCACAGUAUCCGUGGCAUGCUAUCAACUUUUUCUCAGAAGGUCGAGGGUUAUCCAUCAGGGUCAAUGGUUGAUUUUGCAUGUGAUAUCGAUGGAUCUCCAAUAUUAGCAGUGAGCAGCUUGGCAACUCAUACAAAGGACCUCUUAGUUAAUCCCAAAUGCUCAUUGCUUGUUGCUAGAGAUCCGGAGGAUAGGACUGAUUUGGUAAUCACCCUGCAUGGUGAUGCUGUUUCUGUUUCUGAGAAAGAUAAAGCUGCCAUUCGAACUGCAUAUCUGGCAAAGCAU
rnacentral:misc_RNA from 1 species